rnacentral:lncRNA from 10 species
GCUCAGGUCCCCUUGCAUCCUGUGGAAGCUUUGUUCUUUCCCUGUUUGCAAUAAAUCUUGUUGCUGCUUACUCUGUGUAUGCAGUACCUUUAUGAGCUGUAACACUCACCACGAAGGUCUGCAGCUUCAUUCCUGAAGCCAGCGAGACCACGAACUCACCAGCAAGAAGGAACAACUCCGGACGUGCCACCCUUAAGAGCUGUAACACUCACUGCGAAGGUCUGCGGCUUCACUCCUGAAGUCAGCAAGACCACGAACCCACCAGAAGGAAGAAACUCAGGACACAUCUGAACAUCAGAAGGAACAAACUCUGGACACACUAUAUUUAAGAACUGUAACACUCACGGGGAGGGUGUGCGGCUUCAUUCUUGAAGUCAGCAAGACCAAGAACCCACCAAUUCUGGACACAAUAUUCCCCAAGUAAACCUGAGAGGUGACAGCGUGCCUGCAGCCCUCGCAGCCCUCUCUCGCUCUCGGCGCCUCCUCGGCCUCGGCACCCAAUCUGGCAGUGCUUGAGGGGCCUUUCAGCCUGCGGCUGCACUGUGGGAGCCCCUCUCUGUGCUGGCCGAGGCCGGAGCUGGCUCCCUCAGCUUGUGGGGAGGUGUGGAGGGAGAGGCGCGGGCAGGAACUGGGGCUGUGUGCGGUGCUCGCGUGCCAGUGCGAGUUCCGGGUGGAUGUGGGCUCGGCGGGCCGUACUCAGAGCUGCUGGCCAGUGCUGCUAGCCCCGGGCAGUGAGGGGCUUAGCACCCGGGCCAACAGCUGUGGAGGGUGCGCCAAGUCUCCCAGCAGUGCCAGCCCGCAGGUGCUGCACUGGAAUUCUUGGUGGGCCUCAGCUGCCUCCCCACGGGGCAGGGCUUGGGACCUGCAGCCCACCGUGGCUCCCCCACAAGGUGGGCUCCUGCACGGUGGCCCGAGCUUCACCGACAAGCGCCGCCCCCUGCUCUGCAGCACCUGGUCCCAUCGACUGCCGAAGGGCCGAGUGCGGGUGCACAGCAAGGGACUGGCGGGUAGCUUCACCUGUGGCCCUGGUGCAGGAUCCACUAGGUGAAGCCAGCUGGGCUCCUGAGUCUGGUGGGGACUUGGAGAACUUUUAUGUCUAGCUAGAGGAUUGUAAAUACACCAAUCAGUGCUCUGUGUCUAGCUCAGAGUUUGUGAAUGCACCAGUCAGCACUCUGUAUCUAGCUAAUCUGGUGGGGACUUGGAGAACAUUUAUGUCUAGCUAAGGGAUUGUAAAUGCAUCAAUCAGCACUCUGUGUCUAGCUCAAGGUUUGUAAAUGUACCAAUCAGCAUUCUGUAUCUAGCUAAUCUGGUGGGGACUUCAAGAACCUUUAUGUCUAGCUAAGGAUUGUAAAUGCACCAAUCAGCACUCUGUGUCUAGCUCAAGGUUUGUGAACACACCAAUCAGUGCCCUGUGUCUAGCUCAAGGUUUGUGAAUGCACCAAUCAGUGCUCUGUGUCUAGCUAAUCUAGUGGGGACUUGGAGAACUUUUGUGUCUAGCUCAGGGAUUGUAAAAACACCAAUCAGCCCCCUGUCAAAAUGGGCCAGUCAGCUCUCUGUAAAACAGACCAAUCAGCUCAGCAGGAUGUUGGUGGGGCCAGAUAAGGGAAUAAAAGCAGGCUGCCCCAGCCAGCAGUGGCAACCCACUGGGGUCGCCUUUCCACACUGUGGAAGCUUUGCUCUUUCACUCUUUGCAAUAAAUCUUGCUGCUGCUCACUCUUUGGGUCUGCACUGCUUUUAUGAGCUGUAACACUCACCGCGAAGGUCUGCAGCUUCUCUCCUGAGGCCAGUGAGAUCACGAACCCACCAGAAGGAGGAAAGUCCAAACACAUCUGAGUAUCAGAACGAACAACUCCAGACGUGCUGCCUUAAGAGCUGUAACACUCACCGCGAGGAUCCACGGCUUCAUUCUUGAAGUCAGUGAGACCAAGAACCCACCAAUUCCAGACACAAACCUACACUUGUGCAGUAAUGAGUAUGUCCAAGUUAUACUUAUUUCUCAAUGGAGACUUAACUGGAAUUAAAACUUUGCCUAGGCAACAUAUUAAACAAAAAAUAUGCAUGUGGAAAACUGUGCAGUAAUCAUAAAUUUGUCUUCUCAAAAAAUGCUUUGUUAGCAAUAGCAGUAACACCAUUCCUGUUCCAUGCAGCAACUUCUCAAAACACAUUGAUACUAUCAUUGGCCCCAUUUUAUAGAGGACAAAAUGAGGUUCAGGGAGCUUUCUAUGACCUCAAUUGUCUCAAAUGGGGUAUGUACAGAACAAGAUUUUAAACUAACUUACUCUCACUUGAGAAGCUGAAAGUCAUACUCCCUAUCUAAUUGGUAAUAAAUGCAGUAUGUAAAAUAUUCUGCUAAAAAAACAUUUUUAUUAUUUCUCAUAACUUUUGGAACUUAAAACCAAUGGGAAAUUUUUUCCAGUUGUAGAACAAGAAAACCAAAGUUCAGAAAGGUUAAAUAAAUGUUCCAAAUACUCCCCACUGGUGAACAGAAUAUUAAGAAUUUGAAUCUGGAUUUUACUCCAUAGUCUGUGUUCUUAACCCCUGUAGUGACUGUCUUUAUAAAAGUUGUCCUGUACUCCUCAAAAACAGCUCUGUAUUAAAGUCAUUUUAGCCUUUCAAAUAGAAUAGUAUCUGCUUAACAGCAGCUCAGUGGCCCAAUUACAUCUUUUCAUUUUUCAGCUAUAUGUUGAAGUGAACAGUGUUUAAAAAUAUGUAUUUAAUUACAUAUUUUUAUAAAUUUUUGUUUAGUAUUUUCAUUUUAUUCUCAUUAAUAUAAUUAAAGGCUGUGAUAAUACAUGUAUUAGUAGUACUAAUAGUAUAUGAAUUAUUAUUUCUGUAAUUUUAGUAGAGUUAUUCUAUCAGGAUUUUAAUUUGAUAAUUGUCAAAUAAUAUACAGUAGAAAAAAAUACAUGAAUAAGUUUGAACAAAUUUAUACAUUCAAAAUGCUGUUGUAAGCAUUAAUAUCCUUGUGAACGCUAAACUGUCAUUUUUUUGUCCUCUACUACCAUUUCUGGAAUAAAUGUUAGUAGUUGAAAUAAUAAGUGGAGUUUAUAGAUUUAAAUAUGAUGGAGUGGCACAAGCUAAGAACAGGCUUGUCAUAUUAGAGUGCAAUAUUUUGGAAUGUUAUUGAUUAUAGUUUUCAGAGAAAGAACACUUUAUGCAUCAUUUAUUAUUACUAGCAACAAUUUUUAUUACCUGUAUAUCAAAUAAAUGGAAAGCUUCAUCUAACUGAGAAGUAGUUGACAUGAGUAUCUACCACAAUCAGAAUAGAUUCUAUCACAACUUACAGUAAAGAGAGCCUACGAUGUGAGAAUUAGGGAGAGUAUUAAAGCAAAGAAUGUGCUGGCAAUAGUAUUGCAAGAUGGAAUUUAUAUUCCAUAUUUACUCCAUGAAGCUAUUGAUUAUUUGAUAGAUAUUCUUUCUAACGCAGUGCUGGAAUCCAACUUGUCUUCUUUCCAUUGCUUUUAAACUAGGUUUAUCUCAGGAGACAAGAUAUUUUCUAGGAAAAUCAAUGAAAGUAAAACUGAAUACUGAAACUUUUACCACCAUAUUGGCUUCCCUUGUGCUUGGCCACUGAUAUACUUCCUCAGAUUACAGUAUUAAGAAUGCAAGCUUUAAAGGCUGAGUAGUUUCCUGUAAUACUCCAACAAGGUAGAAAGUAGAAAACGUUCCAAAUCAUAUUUGGAGUGUUACAGGAGGGUAGAAUUGCAGUUCUUUUUACCUCAACACCCACAUGCUCGAAGAAAAUCUGUUAGAGUUGUGUCAGCCUUUAUGAAAGUGUGAUUCUCACCAGCUUUUUUAUGUGGAUAUUAAAACUAUAGAAUCCUAGGCCAAACCAUAUAUCUACAGAAUCAAAAAACUUGCUUUCAGACCUCAGAAUGUGUAUUUUAACCAGGACUUUAGAGAAUGCCCAUGUUAAUUUAGGUUUGACAACUAGGGCCACAAUGGCUUAUAAAUGAGACAAAUAUGGAUUAGAGUGAAAGUUCUGUCAAAUGACCUUUCUAAAGCCUUAGUCUCCAUUAUAACAUCAAGAAAAUAAUGAUUUUUAUUCCAUAUUAUUCUUCUAAAGAUAUAAUGAAAUAAUAUGUAAGAAGCAUAUGUAGUCCCGAGUAGGGCAUGUAUAUAAUCAAUAAAGUUAGAUAGUGUUAUUAUUAUUAGUUAUGUCUGUGAGAAAACUACAAAAAAUGUUAUUCAUUCUUGAUCUAGAUGAAAGGUUGGGACUGUGUUUAUGACUUGGGGUUGUGUCACAGGUAUCACAAGGGCCUUCAUCAUAGACAUUUCUUAAUAAAUAAUUGC